UGUUAUUGGAUUACUGUUGUUGGAGCAACUGAUGAAAAUGGACUGGACUACAGUCUGUAUUUAUAGGUAGUUGAACCAACCCCUGGAUGGCAUUGAUGUCAAUCAAUUGCUGCUGAUGUUUAAUUCAUGCAAAUCUUGGCCUCCCGCGAGGUGAAUAUGAAAUCAAGAAAGGACCACUUUCAAUACAGGGAUUGAGUUAUUGAGCUCUAGUGGUAAUUCGAGAGUUCGGGGGGAUGUGGAGGGCGUGGUGUCACAUAUUUCAGUCCUCGCCGAUAGGGGGUAGUGAUUACAGAUUAUUCAAAGAAAAAGAACGUCUGCUGGUGAUCAUUUACUUCCAGGACGUCGAACGGUUGAAUGCAAAUUUGCUGUUCGUGACGUCAAACUUUGGAAGAAAAUGUAUUGAAAUUGUUGAGUUUAUUCAUGAAACUAAUAAGUGGCAACCGCGAAGGACAUUCCAUCCCCAGCAGGCCAGCACGUGAUCGAUGCUGGUCGACGGUUCGCCUGAUCUCUGUGGAUUACAAUAAGUGGUUCCUAUUAAUGUCUUACCUAAGUACAGGGUUGAUGGUAAUUGAAGUAAACCUUAUCUACUUAUUACCUGUGAGGGAAGACUAUAGCAAACAGAGAAAACCAACAAUUUUGAAGACAUAGAAGACCAUGUCCUGCCAAAGAAAUCUGUCAUUCUGUCCUCCAACUCACUAAAUAAGGUAUGCAUUUUUCACUUCUCAAUGAAAAACAUGCAACCAAUUUCCAGCAGCAGACAGUUUCUUAGAGCACUUGACUUGAAAUUGCGUCUCAUCUCUCAUGUUGCCGAAAAUAUGUCCUGCUAGCUCUACCGAUCACCUUAUGUACAGCAUAAUGGGCAAGGAAUAAUGUUUGAAUAUUCAUUAAAUCUAGAUUUUCGAUGGCUCGGACCCAUUAAAUAAUAGUAAUGGAACAGUAGGUCUAGUCGUCCGUCAGAGUGUUCGUGGCAAAUUUCCACCAUUUGUUUUCAAGUCAAUUUCGGAUAUGGUGUUCGUGAUUAAUCUGCGGUGAUCAGCAUUUUCCAUCAUAAACAUCACAGCGGAACUAUUUGGGAAUUUAAGUUAUUCUAAGUCUAACCUUGGAUAAUAACCAUCCAAGAUAAAUUGCUGAUCACGUGGCCUGAGCUGGAUACUUUGCUACCUAAAAAGUUAUGCUCCUGUAGUUGAUGUCCAAUGUACAAUGAUGCUGCAGCCUAUGCUGGUAAAAAACUGCAUCAAGUGGAACUGUCUCUUCCUUGAUUGUGUGAUGUUGCGAAAGUUGCAACCAUUAUGUUGUUAAAUUGACAUUUUUUAUUGCAAAUUACCGUUUAAGUG